AUUGAACGCUGGCGGCAGGCUUAACACAUGCAAGUCGAACGGUAACAUAAAGAAGCUUGCUUCUUUGAUGACGAGUGGCGGACGGGUGAGUAAUGCUUGGGAAUCUAGCUUAUGGAGGGGGAUAACUACGGGAAGCUGUAGCUAAUACCGCGUAGAAUCGGGAGAUGAAAGUGUGGGACCUUCGGGCCACAUGCCAUAGGAUGAGCCCAAGUGGGAUUAGGUAGUUGGUGAGGUAAAGGCUCACCAAGCCGACGAUCUCUAGCUGGUCUGAGAGGAUGACCAGCCACACUGGGACUGAGACACGGCCCAGACUCCUACGGGAGGCAGCAGUGGGGAAUAUUGCGCAAUGGGGGCAACCCUGACGCAGCCAUGCCGCGUGAAUGAAGAAGGCCUUCGGGUUGUAAAGUUCUUUCGGUAGCGAGGAAGGCAUUUAGUUUAAUAAACUGGAU
rnacentral:rRNA from 1 species